rnacentral:rRNA from 1 species
GAUGAACGCUGGCGGCGUGCCUAAUACAUGCAAGUCGAGCGAACAGAUGAGGAGCUUGCUCCUCUGACGUUAGCGGCGGACGGGUGAGUAACACGUGGAUAACGUACCUAUCAGACUGAGAUAACUUCGGGAAACCGGAGCUAAUACCGGAGAAGAUAUUGAACCGCAUGGGGGAAUAGAGAAAGACGGCUUUGGGGGCACUAAUAGAGGGAUCCGAGCCGCAUUAGCUAGUUGGUAAGUUAACGGCUUACCAAGGCAAGGAUGCGUAAGCGACCUGAGAGGCUGAUCGGCCACACUGGAACUGAGACACGGUCCAGACGCCUACGGGAGGCAGCAGUAGGGAAUCUUCCGCAGUGGGCGAAAGCCUGACGGAGCGGCGCCGCGUGAGUGAUGAAGGUCUUCGGAUCGUAAAGCUCUGUUACUAGGGAAGAACAAAUGUGUAAGUAGCUAUGCCCGUCUUGACGGUACCUGAUCAGAAAGCCACGGCUAACUACGUG